GUAGGUGGCAAGCGUUGUUCGGAAUUAUUGGGCGUAAAGCGCGCGCAGGCGGGUUCUUUAAGUCUGAUGUGAAAGCCCACGGGCUCAACCGUGGAGGGUCAUUGGAAACUGGAGAACUUGAGUACAGAAGAGGAAAGCGGAAUUCCACGUGUAGCGGUGAAAUGCGUAGAGAUGUGGAGGAACACCAGUGGCGAAGGCGGCUUUCUGGUCUGUAACUGACGCUGAGGCGCGAAAGCGUGGGGAGCAAACAGGAUUAGGUACCCUGGUAGUCCACGCCGUAAACGAUGAGUGCUAAGUGUUAGGGGGUUUCCGCCCCUUAGUGCUGCAGCUAACGCAUUAAGCACUCCGCCUGGGGAGUACGGCCGCAAGGCUG
rnacentral:rRNA from 1 species